rnacentral:rRNA from 1 species
CCUACACUAUGCAUACGCCAUGUAGUGGAUGACUCGGCUAGGGUGCCGAUGAAGGGCGCGGUAAGCAGCGAAAUGCUGCGGGGAGACGCAGACUGUCUACGAUCCGCAGAUUCCCGAAUCGGAUUUCCGGUCAUAGCUUAAUAAGUUGUGACAGCCAGUAAUGGCGGGGUACCCAGGGAACCAAAACAUUCAAGUACCUGGAGGAAAAGAAAACAAUUGUGAUUCCGGUAGUAACGGCGAGUAAACCCGGAACAGGCCAAACCGAAUUCCCUUUUGGAAACAUUAGGGCAGAUGUGGUGUUUUUGACUACACAAAAGAUCGUAAGAGUUAAGUCGAAUAUCUCUGGAAAGAGAAGCUAUAGAGGGUAAUAGCCCCGUAGACGUAAGCUCACGACUUAGUAGUAUCAAGACUAGCGUGGCUUGGAUUUGUCGCGCAAAUAUGGGAGGACUAACUCCCAAGCCUAAAUACACCCCUAGACCGAUAGCGCACUAGUAACGUGAGUAAAAGUUGAAAAGUAUUCGAAGUACGAGAGUGAAAAGUACCUGAAACUACAUGGUAACAGACGUGGAUGGCCUGAAAGGGUAGAUUCUCGGUGAAGGAACCCAUCGUAAGGUGGUAGUACGAGCUGAGAGGACCAGGGUCAUCCGUUCCGUCUCGAAACACGGGCCGAGGAGUUCAGGUUUGUGGCGAGCCUAAGCAUUAUGCGGUGGCGUAGCGAAAGCGACCUGCGCGCAGCUUCGGCAAGGCGCGACGUCCGAUAAGGGCGUGAAGUCACAAGUCUGAGACCCGAAAGCAGUUGAUCUAUCCCUGACCAAGGUGAAGCGCUUCGAAAGGAGCGUGGAGGCCUGAAGGGUUAUUGAUAUGCAAUUCAUUCCUCUGAGUUGGGGAUAGUGGCAAAAGACCAAUCUAAACUGCUGAUAGCUGGUUCCCCCCGAAGUAUCACCACAGGAUAGCGUUGCUGGAGGUGGCAUGUGAGGUAGAGCUACGGACGGAAGGUUCUGGAGAGUGAAAUCUUCACCCUUCCUUCCAACUCCGAACUUGCAUGCGCCGUAGAAGGCGACAGACGGGCGCGUGUCCGCAAGGGAUGCGGCCGAAAGGGGAACAACCCUACAUCAGGUUAAGGGCCCUAAAUCCCGGUUAAAUGUUAAACAGAAUGGCGUCCAAUAGCACAAACAAUGAGGCGGUAAGCUUAGAAGCAGCUAUCCGUUAAAAAAAGCGUAACAGCUUACUCAUCGAGUUGUUGGGCCCAGAAAAUGGACGGGGCUAAACCGGGUCCCGAUACCUGAUUGAACUUCAUAAGAGUUUUAGGUAGGGGGGCGACCGGGUUGGGUAGAAGCUGGGGAGUGAUUCCCAGUGGACCGAUCUGGUUUGCAGAUCUCGGUGGUAGUAGGAGCAUAGUGAGGUGAGAAUCCUCACCGCCGGAAGCCCAAGGGUUCCUUGGCAAUGUUCGUCAGCCAAGGGUUAGUCGGUCCUAAGGUCGGUCUUAAAACGAGCCGAUCGAAAGGGGAACAGGUUCAUAUUCCUGUACCACGCAUAUAGACGCGGCGACGCAAGCUCUGAGCUAACGCUGGUGGGUAGGUGACCUAGGAGAAUAUCCUAGUUAAAUUUCGAAAUCUGGGGAGAACCGUUAAGGUGAGAACCAGAAGAAUAAAUGAAGAGGCUGGCCAUUGGUUGCUGGCUGUCAUCAAUCCCAACAGCUCAUAAAAAGGCAAAGAGAACGAUUAAGCGUGUCCGUACCCAGAACCGAAACAGGUGUGGCUAGCUUAGAAGGCUAAGGCGUGUUAGGAGAGCUUAGGUGAAGGAAAUCGGCAAAUUAGUCCCGUACCUUGGGUAUAAGGGAUGCCUGGCGAGGUGAAAGCCUCACCAGGUCGCAGUGACUUGGGGCACCCGACUGUUUAAUAAAAACAUAGCAAACUGCAAGGGCGAAAGCCUGAGUACAGUUUGUGAAUCCUGGCCGGUGCUGGUGAUUGAAACCUGGGUUCAACCAGGCUAAGACCCAGUAAACGCCGGAGCUAACUAUGAGCUUCUUAAGGUAGGCAAAUGCCUUGUCUGCUAAUUACAGACGUCCAUGAAGGGACCAACGAGGUGCCCACUGUCUCCACCUAAAGCCUACUGAACCCACAGUCCAGCGAACAGUCUGGAACGCACCAUCGGGAAGAGAAGACCCUGUGGAGCUUUACUGCUGUCAGGGGCUGUUGUAUUGGUGUGCAUACAUAGCAUAGUCAGGAAACGUUAUAUCCUACAUUCUCCGGGAUGUAGGGGAGUUGAUCUUGAAAUACUGACUGUGUGCAUUGGUACGACUUACCUCUUGCGAGGGGGACACCCCCUGCCUGGCAGUUUCACUGGGGCGGUAGCCUCUUGAAAAGAUAUCAAGAGGGCCCAAAGCCAAGCUCAACCGGGACAGAAAUCCGGUGAAGAGUGCAAGGGCAAAAGCUUGGUUGACUGUGAACUCACCAACACGGUUCGCAGAUGUUAACGCAGGGCCUAGCGAUCCUUCGCAAUGCCCUUAGUAGGCGGCGGAGGUGGCAGAAAAGUUACCCCAGGGGUAACUGCGCUUCAUUAUACUUACGUAUAAAGUUGUGCUCUCAUCUGGGUAACAUUUAUCUGUUGCACAUUUUUUCAAUUGGCAGAGCUAAUAAUAUAUAAUUAGAUAAUUGCUCCUGUCUUCAAUUUCCGGUGAGGAAAUUAUAAUAGGUUUUCGCCAAAUUGGCAUAAUAAAAUCUUGAACAGAAUGGGUCCAUUAUCUGUCUGAUAUCCCAACAAAUUGAUAUAUGAAUUCCCAAAAGAUUAACAACACAACAGAUGAAGAGCCAUCAACUUUAAAGCGUGAGUACUCGAUAGGUGACAGGAUUGGUAACUGCCCUUUACGGGGUUAACAAUUGAUCCUCAAACCAAUGUGCUAUGUAUUUUGCAUAGGCGCAGCCCUGAACAGAGUUGUCGUGGGUAAGAGUUCACAUCGACCUCACGGCUUGCUACCUCGAUGUCGGCUCUUCCUAGCUUGGUCCUGAUUCAGGGGCCAAGAGUGGGGUUGUUCGCCCAUUAAAAGGGAACGUGAGCUGGGUUUAGACCGUUGUGAGACAGGUUGGAUUCUAUCUGAUGGUGCUGGCGGGCGAUUGAGAGUAAAGUCUCCACAGUACGAGAGGAACAGGCGGCUGGGGCCGCUGGUGUACCGGUUGUUCUAAAGAGCAUUGCCGGGUAGCUAAGCCCUUGUAGAUAAGAGCGGAAUGCAUCUACGCUCGAAGCUACUCUCGAAACGAGUCGUCCAUUCUGCAACACUAUAGAGGGACUGGUGACAGUAACUUUCGUUGUAGACGAGAACGCGGAAAGAAGAUCCGUUUGAUAGAGCAGGGGUGUACGCGUCGAGCUUAGGCGAGAUGUUUAGCCCACUGCCACUAACUGUUCAAGCGUAGUUAGGC